rnacentral:tRNA from 1 species
AUUAUUUACAAACUAUAUAAGGCGGUGUAGCUCAGCUGGCUAGAGCGUACGGUUCAUACCCGUGAGGUCGGGGGUU